rnacentral:rRNA from 1 species
CACUAGUGAUUGUAGUCAUAUGCUUGUCUCAAAGAUUAAGCCAUGCAUGUCUAAGUAUAAGCAAUUUGUACUGUGAAACUGCGAAUGGCUCAUUAAAUCAGUUAUCGUUUAUUUGAUAGUACCUUACUACAUGGAUACCUGUGGUAAUUCUAGAGCUAAUACAUGCUAAAACCUCGACUUCGGAAGGGGUGUAUUUAUUAGAUAAAAAACCAAUGCCCUUCGGGGCUCCUUGGUGAAUCAUAAUAACUUAGCGAAUCGCAUGGCCUUGCGCCGGCGAUGGUUCAUUCAAAUUUCUGCCCUAUCAACUUUCGAUGGUAGGAUAGUGGCCUACCAUGGUGGCAACGGGUAACGGGGAAUUAGGGUUCGAUUCCGGAGAGGGAGCCUGAGAAACGGCUACCACAUCCAAGGAAGGCAGCAGGCGCGCAAAUUACCCAAUCCCGACACGGGGAGGUAGUGACAAUAAAUACUGAUACGGGGCUCUUUUGGGUCUCGUAAUUGGAAUGAGUACAAUCUAAAUCCCUUAACGAGGAACAAUUGGAGGGCAAGUCUGGUGCCAGCAGCCAAUCGAAUUCCCGC